UCAAGUCACACAGGCAGAAUUGGAAUCAAAGCAAACCGCUGGAUGAAAAUUAAUAAACACGCAGCAUUUUUGGCAUAAUCAGGCGGCAUAAUCCGAAACUUCUAAUUGAAUUAGUCAGGGAAAACGAGAGUGGAGCGGAGGCACUGGUGGUUAUGAUUAGUCUGCUGAUUAGACACGAAAUUUGUCAAUUAUUAAUUAAACUAAUGAAGUGUCUGUAGGUCUCUCCUACGGACUCAUUAGCAAAGUUAAAAGAGAGGCGCACUGACUGGGGCCUUGCUGAGAUAAUUUGUUGUUAAUGGAAGUGGUAAUUUCCCUCGCACUUUCCCGGCGCCCGCGGAAAACUCCGCCCCUGCACUUCAUCAGCGAGUUAGUGGCCAAGUUGAAGUUGCUGACUGCAAGUCAUAGUCCAGCAUUAGCAACCUCUUAUGCACCGCAAAUGGCGUGAAAUUAUGUCUGAGCCACCGCAACCACUUUGUAAUUAACUGCCCCCUGGAGUGUCGCCAGCUGCCUAAUGACUCUGCCCAUAAACCCGCACCACUCCGCAAUCCGCUUCACUCCGCAAUCCGCACCAUUGACGGCCGGCGAAAGAAGUGGAAAUGUGGCGGCAGUCUAGAGAACUUUAGCAGCCGCAAUCUUGAGAAACUGGAGCACGGUCUUCGACUGGGAAACCUUUACCCCAUCCAACCAUCCCUCAAUCCCUCCAUCCAUCUCCUCUUGCGCAAUCUCCUCCUGCAAAUUAUAGUAAAUUGCGCGAUUCUCUCGUGGCUACCUCUUAUGAAAGGUCUAAGCAGCGGGUUCAGGUGUCCCAGCACUCCAACAAAUUGUGGCUUUUUUCGGCGACAAAGAACUAACUAGAUGUAUACUUAAAGUAAUGUAUUUGUUCAUUGAGCAAAAGGCAAGAGUUGAACUCAUUUGCUGCAUAAUAGUAUGGCAUCCUUACAUCUUAAGUGUAUUGAUAGCUACUAUUAUGUUUUUAAGACAA